UCUAAAUAUUGGGUGCUUUUCGAUGCCUUAUGAAGAAAAAGACAAAAAUGAAAUAAAAUCGCGUCGAGUUUUUGCUUUUGUUGAAGAUAUUCGGUAGUUCUAAAGAUUGAAAAUUGAGUUUUCAGGAAGAGAAAAAUAACAAAAGAUACUGAACCGGUUCAGAGCCAAGGUUAACUACAAUCUUCUGAAUUUGUUCAGUUUUACCUUUGAAAGCUAAUAUUUCAAUUAAAUUAAUUCUCCCCAAACUUCAAAAUAGCUCAAAAAAAUUUCUGUAGGACCCCUCAGUACGUAUUCCAAACUGUAGCCUCUAAUAUUAUCUGGUUUCUAGUUUGUAAUAUUUUUAUGGGGAUUUGAAGUAAGUAAAGAUUCUGAAAGCAAUUUGGAAAUUUUUAAUUUGUUGAAAAAAAUCUGCAAAUUCUGAAUUUGUUUAUUUCAAAUACAAUUUUAAUACAAUUUUUAUUUCAAAUACUAAAUUUAGUUUUGAAACUUUUGUAACUGACAUACUUCUCCUGUAAUCCUUCUUUGUGUAGCAUGCCUAUACAAUGAUCUUCACACCAAACAAAGCACAUUCAAAAGUUCACAUCUAUUUUCACUCAUUCGUUUUUUUCUGACUCAAAAUUCUGGAAGAUUCUCAUUUCCAUUACGAGAGACUCCCAUAUUCUCAUGAAUUUGCUCAAAGUGAUGGAGUGCAAAUGCUUUAAGAUUUGAUGAGCAUUUCGAUGCCCUGCGGGGGAAGCCACUUUUUGUUCUCUAUUCAACCCAUUUUUUCGUACUUUGAAAAUGGGAUUUACCAGUUUUUAGAAAUGUGGUGAUUUUCAAAAUAAUAGUUCAAAAGUCUAGUUUUGAAAGAACUACAAAACAACUAUAGAGCCAUAACAUUUUUCUGAGAGGAAAUCCGAAAAUAGUAGUUCAGGUAAAGAGCUGUUAUUUCUGGAGAUUUGUUUCAUCGUCCCAAACGGAAAUAGGCCCACACUUUUUUCUUUUCACUAUUUCUUCUUCUUCUUCAGUGUUUAAAAAUAUAUUCCUCAAAUUUUUUGGCUCCCGGAUAAGAAUACGACGUUGUGUUCCGUUUUUCAUUAGCUUAGGGAUUAAUAAUUCAUUAUUUAAGAGUUAAAGAUGGUUCUGUGGAGUCACCAUCCAUUGGAACACCGGUUUAUGCCUUUAAAAAAAGCAACAAAAAAUCUACAGUCUCGGUGCUCACAACGGAUUUUUUGUUUUUUUUUGUGUUUUAAUUGUAAACAUUUUAGCUCUGACAAGUACACCCAAAGGCCAUAUUUUGAAAGAUUCGGAAAUAUUUUUUAAAUCUGUAAAAACUCUUAAUUCCACCCCUGAAACGUCCAUUUACAUGUUAAUUCCGGAAGUAAAAUAUCCACUUUUUCCCUCUAACGUAACUUUUUGCAUUCGUCUUUCCUCCUUAUCAAGACCAAAAAACUAACUCCAUUCGCAUUUUUAUAUCUUUCUGAAAAAUCUUUGUUCUUCUAGUUUCUUCAUCUUCUUGUUUCUCUCGAAUAUUUUUCUCGCCGACAAAAUUUCCGGGAGCUCCUCCUCAUGCACUUAUCGUGUUGCUCUAAUCGCGGUCGAGAGGCCAACUACUACUCGGGGGAGCUCAAAAAAAGUUUUUGCUCUUUUCCGAAUCUCUAAUAGGAUAAAAGCCCCCGGCUCCCUUCAUCGUUGUCGCCGUCCAUCCCAGGAUGGCCAAACGGAAGAAAAUCCCACGUUUUGUGUUCAUUUGCUCAUGGCUUCAAGGAUAGGGUGCCAAAACGGCCCUCAUCGGGCACAUAAAACUGGUGGUGAAGCUUGUGUGAAGAGAUCUACUUGUUUUUGUCCCGUUUUUUUCCGCUAAAUUUUAGUGUUUUUAGUUAUGUCGUGGUCCUGUCGUAAUUUUGGCAAUUUCACUAAUGUAUUCAUUAAAAUGUUCGUUUUUUAUUUGCCAAAUUGGUUGCGUAAACAAAAAAAUAAAAUUAACCUAGUAUGCUUCAUUUCAAAACCUUAGCAAUAACUCACGACUAAUUCCAGCCAACAUUUUGUUGCCUGGACCACUGGAAUUUAGAUAAAAUUAUUUUGAUCGAACAUUGUAAUUAGAGUUAUCUUGCCCGAUUUUUCAUUUUAAUUAGGAAUUAUCUAACAAACCAAGGAAUUACGCCCGAAUAUGCCUCCAAGAGAGCGAGAAAAAAGAUAUAUGAGAACUCACAAUAAAAUAUACAAUAUUUCCUAUAUUAGUAAGGCGCCUCUAUUAAUUUUGCAUCCAAAACCACUCAUCGAAAUAUAGUUUUGCGACGUUUUGAUACACAAAAAGAACAUGGAUACUAUUUACACAAAUCUAUAAUUUCAGUGUGGUAAUGUCUUUUUAAGCCAUUUUUAUCGUUGGAGUUGAUGAAAUGUUGUUAUUUUAAAUUUGAAAAUACUGAAAAAAUACUUGCUCGAAAAAUAUUAUUGCACUCUCUAUUAGUUUUGCAUCACAUGGCGGGUGCGGAGAUUAGUAUUGCAUGCAUUACUAAUAGAGGAAAUACGGUCAACGUUAACAUCGUUACGACAAAUACAUAGCACACAAUUUUGCCAGUAAGCCGAAAGGAGGCUUACGUCACGCUUCGACCGGUGGAAAUCUCUACAGACAUUUUAUUCAAAUUUUCAUACACUUUUCUAUUAAGAUAGUGCUAAAUAAAGUUUUGCAUUUU
ensembl:lincRNA linc-165 ncRNA